ACUCAAUCUGAAACUCCUUGCACAGGUUUCCACUGUAAUCAACAGGGAGGAAUUCCCCUGGCUUUAGUCUGGCUCUAUGCCACCUCUCCUUGGUUUGCAGCCCUUAAGAAGUAGCAAGGAAAGAACGACAGAGUAAAUAAUUUUGCAUUUAGAACCGAACCUUUCAUUUGAAGAUCUUGAAGUACUUUAGAAACCUUAAUUACUACCCCUUGAGGUCUGUGCUGUCCUUUCUGUUUUACAGUUGAGGAAAUUAAAGCACAGGAAGGUUAGAAGCCAACUCCAUCCAAGUUGGGCAGCUGAAGCCUACUUCAGUACGUGAAACACCUGAGAAAUCAAGGGCACUGCGAGUAAAGCGGAGAGCACGCACACACGGUGGCCAGCCCGAGAAGAUCAGGGUGAAAGGAACUGGGACUGGAUUCCCCCAUCUUUCCACAGGUAUUUCUGCCCAUUGCUGGUACAGAAGAACAUAGGGAUUUUCUUGCAGGAGGUGCAGUGGUGUGCAUCGUGGAAGGAACAGAGCAAGAGAGGGAUGCAGAAAUUCUGGACGCUGCUCACAGCUGUCCUGCAUACUUCCUGCACAGUCUGGGAGAGGAUCUGCUCGUCUUGGGAUGAUUGUCUGCAGAAGGCUGAUGUUCAGGACUCUCCAUGCAGUUUGGUGGAACAGAAGAGGACAAAGGAGAGAUGAUGACUACUCAAUUCAAGCAGUCAACCUCCGCAGGAAGUACUGCUGGAGCUGGUCACAUGAAAGAUAACAUCUUAAGGUCAAGAUAGGGGCCUAUACUCUACUCCACUUCACCAGGACUUUACCAGGGUUUCAUGUUUGCUAAUGUUUUUCUCUGAAGGUUUGAUGACAUUAUGCAUUAAAACAAACAAACAAACAAACAAACAAACAAAAAACUGUGAUCAAUCAGUUUUGACUCACCUCUCACCAUUGUGCUCUGUGUUCACACCUUGUAUGCAUCAGUGGUCUAUUAGUCCACAGACUGGUGGCCUCUGGGUCACUAGGAAAGCAGAAGAUCUUUUUGAAAGCUAUAGAUCAGAAUCCAUUUCUGAACUGAGCAAAAGGUCUUAAACUCCAUGGACACAAAUCACAGAUUUUCGCCUCAACCUAGGUAACAUUCAUGUUGGAAAAUGUGUUCCUUUAAUGCUCUAGAUGCGUACACACAUGCUUUAUAAACAAAGGUAUGACUUAUGAUUCAGUUCCUACAUUUUUUCACCUUCACGGGUCUUCUUGUGCAUUUUCCCAACUGUGUGUUUCACAUCAUUUCAAUGCCACCAAUCUGGUUACCACCACACCCACAAGAAAAUGCCCAUCCAUGUAAUAUUCAAGGUUUGUUGUCAAAUCUAGGCUUCAGUAAAUAGUAAAAGGAUGAGAAUUGUGGUCCUGAGACUUUCUUCUUAUCCAACAUAGUCCAUAGCAUAUUCUAAGCCACAGAAUGGGAAGCCUCAUUGCAACACUGGCUUUUAAAACUGGGAUUGGAGUCCCACAAAAUCAGUGUCCUGUAGUAGGUAUUCUGCUGGGAUUCCCGUUUAAUGUCAGGUAGCAAUACCAAACUGAAUCAAAUUUCAAAUGAUAUCACUCUAAAUCAACAUGAUCUCCCCACAGAAGGUUGGAACUAGAUAAUCUUUAAGGUUUUUUGAAGCUAAGCCACUCUAUGACUCUCUGAUUCUCUGAUUCUAAAUAUGAGUGAGGACACUGGCAUCAGUGCUUUGACACCGCACCUAUAAGCAGAGAGAAUAUUGCUUGCUUAUGUCCUCCAUUCAACUCCUUUCUGUUUUCUUUAAAGGUUUCUAAUCACUGUAUUGUGGAAGGAAAGGGGAAACAUCAUAGUCAGACACAAGGUGAGAGGAAAUCAUGCCCAGGAUUCAGCAGCAAGUAACUUGUCAACCUGACUGCUUCUUCCAGACACAUGAAAAAAAGGAGAGGAAGAAAACAUAGAUAGUGGAGGGUCCUUUAAUCUAUCAGAAAAAAAACAUCACAGGAACCAAAUUAAAUCCAGACUCAUUCAUACGAAAAAUAAGUUAGCAGCUAAGAUGAUUAAACAUUUGAACCAAGUACAGAAGGAAGUUGUAAAAUUAUUCCCUGUGUCCUGGUGUCAAAUCCAGACUGUAUACUAUCCUGUAAUGUAUGCUUUGAUCAAAGAAAUUCUUGGACUUGACACUGAGGAGGUCGGACCAGAUAAGGUGAUCAUUCCUCUGACCUUAAAACUCCACAAAUAUGUACAUUCAGAGAGAAAGACCAGACUGUGGUUGCAGUCUGGCACAGGGACACCAGAAAUUUCGGUUCAAGGCCUGGCUCUGUUACAGAUUUCCAGAAUAACCACAAGCAAGUUGUGUAGUUUAUCUGUGCCACUGUUCCCCAUCUGUAAAGUCGGGAGGAUAAUCCCCUUUCUGUUUGGUUCAUUAGCUAUUUGAGGUAUGAAAAGCAACUUACUCGGUGCGGGUGCAGACCUUGCCUAAGUUCUGUAAAGAAAAGUUUGUAAGAUCAUUGCAAAGCACAUAUAUCCAUAAGGAAACCUUGAAGAUAGAGAGGAAAGCAUAUUGGUAGGGAGGCGAGGAAAUGCUUAGCUUUCAUCAGUAGCCUCCAGAGUGCAAUUAAAAGACAAAACAAAAGAGUGUGGGGAUGGUCACUCAGCCAAAGAACUAUGAUUUCAUCUCAGGAUGCUUCUGGAUACAAAUAGUAUCCAAGGCCUCCUCAUGAGGGAGUCUCUCACUUCCUCCAGUGGCAUUUGCAACAUUACACUCAUUUAUAUUCUCAACAACAAUAAUCAAAUGACCAGUGUCUGUCCAUAUCAAUGCACAAUGAAGACUUGUGCUCUCUUUGCUUAGCUAAGAAACUUUGUGAGCUUCUGCCAAGAAGUGAAAGAUCAUCUUGAAUGGCUGGAACAAAUUCAAGCCAUGUUCCAGAGAGCUGGAAAGCUCACAGCCUUGUCCACUGCCCAGCUGCUCCUCCCUUCCUUACAUCUUCAUUGUGGGAUCUAUUGGUCUGUACACUGCUGCUGAAUAGCUGAAUGCUCCACCUGGUAGCUGGACACGCUUCUAGAUUUGCUGUUUGCCUCUUGCCAGGGCCGAAAUGUGAAUAGCCUUUCAAGACACAUAGGAAGUGGCUUUUAGGAAAUACGCUAAGCAGGAGGUGGGCUCCUACCCAGUUUGGGACAAAAGCACUGCAUCCCAGCUGGAACCACACAGCAACAUCUCAGUGAUUCCUUAUGUGAUCUUCUGUUAGUUAUGUCCGCUCCAGAGAGAAUGGGAGCUUAUGCUUCCAUCUGCUGCUAAGAUUGCAAGUAUGAACAAAAUGCUCUUUGCUCCAGAGGUCUCUGGUUCAGUCCCUGAUGGCAGCCACAUGGACUUGUAUAUAUAACAACACAUAUAUAAGAAAUAUAUGUCAUAACAUAUGUAACAGCAAUUUACAAGGGAAAGUUACAAAUGAAAACAAUAGCCACCAACACAGGUUUUCCAGGGCUACCCUAAGGAGAAUAUAGGGGCCAUUCUUCCCAGGUCCUCAGAACUCCUAACAAACCUCACCAAACUACAAGGAGGACUAGUGUUGGAAUAAGGUACAGAAAGAUACACGAAGUGUUGGAGAAGGAAAAGACAGCUGUUAGGAUGAGUGGGGACCAUAUCAGAAAUACAGUAAGACACAGCUCCAAAGAGCUAAAAGAUGCACUCAUGUUAUCCUGCCAAUCCCCCUUUGGCACAAUGUCUCUGUAUGUGAUCCUCUUAGUCUAUCACUGGUUCUCUGUGAUAUGCGUCUAUCUGGUUUCUCAUGGCCACAAUAAACCCUUCUACUGCGUUAAUCUCAUUUAACAGUUCCACUGACUUGAAAAGAACCAGAGUAAAAUUGCUGUGCAAUUUCUGCUGGCAUUAUUAUGGCUGUAUCACUUGUCAGCUUUCGUAAACAAGAUAAAUAGAGUUAAACUUAAGGCAUCAGAUAUGAAAAAAAUUGGCAUGUUAUAGCAGCCCAUCAGAAAUACUUUUUGACAGGUACCACAUAAAAAAGGAAACAAGAGCAUGUCAGAGAGGAUAAUAACUGCAAGAUUUUCUUUUGCAAAAUGUUUUUGCCCAAGGAGGCUGCAAGAACUUGAUGUUCUCUACCCAAGCUUUUUAGUACCAUUAUCUAAUUCUGCUGUCACACACAGCAGCCUGUACCUGGACUGACUCCCUAGAAGCAGUGAAUCCCAGUAUCAGUCUCUGUAUCUCACAGAGCCUCUCAUCUCCAAGUGCAUCAGAGGCAAGACCGCUGGAAUCUAGCUACAUGGAGGCUGGAGGAUGAAAGGCAGCAGGAGGCAUGCAAAACUGGGAGGGAGGGGGGAUGGUUCCUGAUAGGGCACAGGGAAAACCCCUACGCACAACUGACUGCUAACUUGUUUGCUCUGCAAUAGGACAUCCCAUGUGAAGGGCCCGUGUGAUCAUCACCCACUAUUCCCCCACACUAGUGGUUGCAUUGUGCCUGCAGCUACACUAUGCUCCAAAGAAGACAAGAAUCUCCCUUCUAGCACCUGCAUGAAAAGACCAAACCCAGCAACUCUCCCCACACCCAGGAAGUACCCACGCUCCCUUAUCACCCCCCUGGAGCAAGUCUCUGGAGAGCUGAGAUGGGAGAAGUUGAGAUUGCAGCCCCAUGUCUCUGUGCUGGCCAUGGAGGAUGAAUGGGUAUGCCACAGACAAAAGGCAUAGAGAAUGGGAUGCCUUUUAUUAUAUGGGGAAGGACAGGUUAUGGGGUAAAUACUGGUCUCUUCUUGCUGGUCAAGGUCAGGCUGGAUGGGGCUUUGAGUGCACCCUCAGCUGUAGGUGUCCCUGUUCUUUGCUCGGGAAUAGGAUUAGGUGGCUUUUAAAGGUCCCUUCCAACUCAGACGAUUCUAAGAUUCUCAGAAAGCGUGGAGGUCAGAUGAAUGUCAAAAAAACAUAAGCUAUGUGUGCUGAGACCUGAGCCAAUGGCCCCAGGGAGAGUAGGUGCUUCUGAACCUGAGGUCAAGCUGGAAGGAAACUCAGAGUUCAUGUAAGAGUCUGCAUUAGCUUAUAGCCAGAGAGGAAAAAAACAGGUCUAAACAUAACUGGGUUAGAAAGGCCACUGCCAGAGGUCAAGCCACAGAAGCUCAGAAGAUAAAGUGGCUGGUUUCUGCCAUUGUCUGAAUGCUACACAGUCAAUAAAGAACUCCAAUAACUAUUUGCAGUUCUCUCUCGUGCUACUGCGGAUAUAAUGGGAUGGGUUUUCAGUAUUAAGAGAGUUAGGGAAAUUUAUGAUGUCAGUCUAUAUUUUUUCAGUACCUAGUGAAAUACUGGAGACCAAAGACUUGCCAGAGAUUCUUGUAGGGAGUGGUGCUGAGAUUUGAGAGUGACAGAUUGGGCAGACAGAUGAGGAUGGCGUGAUCAGAUAAAGAGCUCCAUGCUCUUUGUGUUAUGACAUUUUGCUUUUGAGGAAAUAAAAUUCCCAUCUCUCCUUACUAUUGGAGAAGGCAUGUUUUAGAAUCUCUUCACCUAUUGCAAUGGAGGGGCAAAUGGGAGAAUAUUUUCCUGUAUUAGAUUGGGGUAAAGCAACUGAUCACAUUGCCCUCAAAAAUUGCAGUUUCUCUCAAUGAAAGAAAGGGUCCCACAAGAGUUGUGUGUAAACACAUUUUGACACUGAAUUUGAGCCUUAUUCUAGACCCCCACUGAAGGAAGGCCACCUUCAGUUGAUCCACAUAUAUAUAUGUAUCUUCAAGACAGGAAAAUACAGGCAGUCAAGGGUGAUGCCACCUCCAGCACUUCCUUCUGGGCUGUAAGCUAUGAAGCUCAUGUACCUUAAGCACCACAGGUCUUACCAUGUUGGUUUCAGUCAAACUUUGGGAAUGAAAACAUCUUUAGUCUCAAGUGAGUCUGGAUCCAUACAGUUCUGGCAUCCCAAGUUAUCUAAUGACCAGGAGCAAUUAUAAAAAGUAAAUGAAAGAGAAGCUUCUAGAUGAAAUGACCUCACUGCUGUUCUUAUAUCUUGUCCAUAGAAAAUUUAAUCUGGAAAUGCUGGUGAUUAAAUGGCCAGAAUUUGUCCGUGCUUAUAUAGAGAGAUUUCUAGAUCUUUAAGGACUUGAAAAUUAAACUAACUGUGUGCCUUAGAAGAAUAAGAAGAGUCCAUCUCAUUCAUCCACUUAGUGAUGUACCAAACAGCUUGUCAUUAAAGGAACAAAGGAAGAACUGGUCACAAGUCUCCUAAGAGAACUUUACUGACUUUCUCAUUCUCCACCUCAGAUCUUAGCAAUGAUCGUAUUAACAUGUCUGCUAUUGCUGUUCAGAAUUGUCCUCGGGCCAUUGAACUGGAGCCAUCAAGAGCAAACUGGAUGUAAACCACUUCUGCUUUCCUCAGCCCCUGACUUCCUGUGUGGAUUACAGCCAGGCUGGACCUAAGCUCGUUUGGUGGGAUACUUUCACCCAUAACAAACCAAUUUUAAAGGAAAGAAAGAGACAUAGUGUGAGCCGGGGGACAGUAUACAUCAAGAAUACAUGAAGAAAUACAAAUACAGACUGAUGGAUAUGGAAUUACCUUUGCUGCCAUUUUGUUUGAGCCCCCAGCUAUCAGCUGUGUCUCCUUUUCUUUCUUGUCUAAUGGUGUAGAAGCCUGGUAGCCAUUCUGUGGUUAGCAGAAGAGCUUCUGAGCUGUAUAGGAUCCAGCUCCUUCUGGUUUUUACCACCUACAGCAAGUGGACAUGAACCCACAACAUCCUUAACUGCAUUCCAAUCCAACCAAAACACAGGCUCUAAUCAUACGGUUACAAAGUCCUUCAGCUGCCUCAGAUGGAAAGAUUUAUGUCCUCAAAGACUUGGCAAGCCCAUUAUUGCUCAUUGUGUUUGACUACAAGUUGCAAAUGUUCUUUCCAUUUAAUUUUUAAUGCAGCUGUGACUUGCCUCACUAAGCCCCAGGAAAACUGUAAAGGCACUGGCUGUUACUAUGAACUUAUAAUCUCUUGGCAAAAGCAGUGUGUGCAAGCACUGCGUGACAGUUCACACCACCCUACUCUGACUUUUAUGUAAGAACCACAUUUUUCUUUAAAGCAAGUGCAUAGUUUUGAUUUGCUUCAGUUGGAGGCCUGAGCCAGAGAAAAGAGUAAAAUCACCCAGUGAAGGCAUAGGAGUUCAGUGAACAUGUCUGAAUCAUGCAUCAUGGGUCUAGACAUGGUUUACUGCUACUUAUAAAACUCACUGCAGUUUUCUUAUCUAGGGUUUCUCUUUUGCUCAUUUUUGCUAAGUGCUCAUCAUCUCACUAUCAGUAGUCUUGAGGGGAGGUUUAAUAUUUCUUUUCCUUAGAUUUUAACCCAAAUCAGAUUAUAUUGUUAUGAUACUGAAUUUGGUGACUCAAGAUAUUUUUUUCAUUCUGAUUGUUUUUAUUUAGGUAACAUACCCCAAAUAGUCUCUUCUCUUUAGCUUUCAGACCUCAGAUGGUAAUCUGGGGACCAUGGAGAAAAAUCAGUGUGACCAAUAAAAAUGAAUACACUGUUCCUUUGUUUAUCAAACAAAUUAAUAAGGGUUUUAUGCAUCAAAGACUAUGUACUAUGAAAUAAACUCCAAAGUUAAGUGAAUGUAUAUAGCUUGCCUGUGUUUACAUAGAGGCACACCUUUCAUUCUUUAUUACCUUUUAUAAAUGAUUUGCUUAGCAGAAAAAAAAUCCAUUGAAAUUAUUUCCAGAGAUAGAAAGGCCUUUUUUUUUUUUUACCCCCCCAAAAUGGGCUGACAACUGUGAACUUUCUAAGAGGAAAAAAAAUCACUUUAUUGUCAAAAAUCAAUCCAUUGGGGGUGUAGGUUAUAGUUAAGGCUAAUAUUUUCAAACCUGUGCGGCUAAAACUAGGCCUAUGGAAGGAAAAACGGAAGACAGCCUAAAUUGAAGGUGUAAUAAUUUAUCUCAAAUUUAUGCAUGCAUUAAGAAGAGCCUGUGCUUUAAAUCCGUGAGAAAGAAGGCAUAUUCCUUCUUUUCUCUAAAGGUGAUCUUUCAAAGUACUGAGCACCACCAGUGUUCAUCCCAGUUAAAUAAACUGAGGUUGUAGGUACUCAAGACCUGUGAAACUUCUGCAUAACUACGUAACUUUGAAAAUUGUUAUGGAUGAAAGGGGUGAGAUAUUUAGCAGAGAGAAAAAAAAUCCUGGGAGUAAAAAUAUUGCAAUGCUUUGCUAUAGCUUGGCAAGGGUAUUUGCUAUAUGCGAUAGUACAGCAGAAAUGCUGUCACAGCUUGAACCAGUGAUUGAGCACCUGGUGGGAAGGCAGGGCCAAGCCAGGAGAGCUCAGGUGCAUGCAAAGCACCUGAGUGACUAGAAGGGACAGAGCCAAGAGCCACCUCCACCCCUUCCCAGAUCUCAUUUAAAGGCUGGCAGUGGUGGUGAGGGUAUAUUACUGGAGAUUCUCACCUACCUGAGGCCUUCCAAAGGUAAGAAAUUUAUUUUCUUUGUUUCUAUGCUCCCAGGUGUUGCAUUCAAGCAAGUCCUUACUUGCUGUAGCCUGAGUACUUACAUGUUGUCCCUAAAAUCAGAGUGGACUUACUGUGACAAUAAGUUGAUAACAAGCAUGUCUGUAAGGGCAGCAGUGGGAAGGUGGGAAAAACAAAGCAGCUGCACUGUGAGAAGAUGCUCAAGAAACAUGGAGAUGUGGCAUUGAAUGACAUGACCACCAUGGUUGAUGUUUGGAGUAGAUGAUCUUAGUGGUCUUUCCAACCUUGGAAAGUUUUAUUCCUUGACUUACUCCACCUUACAGCCUCAUGCAAAAUCCAAUCAGCCAGGCUAAGGCAGAAUAAUUUCCAGAUUAAUGAUGUGUUUGACAGUCAGCGUGCUGAUCUGUGAUGAUACAAAAGUGUGGGUCACUGUACGGGCUGUGCAUUAGAGAAGAAGUCUGAAGAGGCUGAAGUCAACAGUUCUUUCAGACAACUGUUGCAUACAGUACUGAAGUAUCUUAUGUGAAGAGCUAGAGCAAUGUGCUUUUAUUUUUAUGGAUACUCAAAGGAUGGUGACCCACUGAAGCAGGUUGCCCAGAGGUUGUGGAUGCCCCACCCUGGAGGCAUUCAAGGCCAGGCUGGAUGUGGCUCUGGGCAGCCUGGUCUGGUGGCUGGCGAGCCCUGCCCGGGGCAGUGGGGUUGAAACUAGAUAAUCUUAGAGGUCCUUUUCAACCCAGGCCAUCCUGUGAUACAUUUUCUCCCCCGCCUCCCUUCCUUCCCCCCCACCCCCUCAGGCCUCUGUAUGCUAUUGAUGACUGUAUAUCAAAUGGAAUUUUAUCUUUGCUCAGAUUGCCAUUUUAAAUAUCUUUCUUUGGUACUUUUUUUUUUUUCCAG
ensembl:lncRNA